UCGAGAAUCUUUCACAAUGGGGGCAACCCUGAUGGAGCGACGCCGCGUGUAGGAUAAGGUCUUCGGAUUGUAAACUCCUGUCCUGUGUGAACAAGGCUACUUGGUUAAUACCUGGGUAGAUUGAUGGUAACACAAGAGGAAGAGACGGCUAACUCAGUGCCAGCAGCCGCGGUAAUACAGAGGCCUCAAGCGUUGUUUGGACUCACAGGGCGUAAAGGGUGCGUAGGUGGCAUGGUAAGUCAGAUGUGAAAGCCCAGGGCACAACCUUGGAAUUGCAUCCGAUACUGCUGUGCUAGAGUACUGGAGGGGUGACUAGAAUUCUCGGUGUAGAAGUGAAAUGCGUAGAUAUCGAGAGGAAUACCAAAGGCGUAGGCAGGUCACUGGACAGUUACUGACACUGAGGCACGAAGGCCAGGGGAGCGAACGGGAUU
rnacentral:rRNA from 1 species